AUGGCCGAGAGGAAUAAGGCGCUGCGUUCAGGUCGCAGUCUCCCCUGGAGGCGUGGGUUCGAAUCCCACU
rnacentral:tRNA from 1 species